CAAGGCCUUCAAAUCAGCAGUACGCUGCCUGAGGUUCGAUUCCGCCCU
rnacentral:tRNA from 10 species